rnacentral:rRNA from 1 species
GACGAACGCUGGCGGCGUGCUUAACACAUGCAAGUCGAACGGAAAGGCCCUGCUUUUGUGGGGUGCUCGAGUGGCGAACGGGUGAGUAACACGUGAGUAACCUGCCCUUGACUUUUGGAUAACUUCAGGAAACUGGGGCUAAUACCGGAUAGGAGCUCCAGCUGCAUGGUGGGGGUUGGAAAGUUUCGGCGGUUGGGGAUGGACUCGCGGCUUAUCAGCUUGUUGGUGGGGUAGUGGCUUACCAAGGCUUUGACGGGUAGCCGGCCUGAGAGGGUGACCGGCCACAUUGGGACUGAGAUACGGCCCAGACUCCUACGGGAGGCAGCAGUGGGGAAUAUUGCACAAUGGGCGGAAGCCUGAUGCAGCAACGCCGCGUGCGGGAUGACGGCCUUCGGGUUGUAAACCGCUUUCGCCUGUGACGAAGCGUGAGUGACGGUAAUGGGUAAAGAAGCACCGGCUAACUACGUG